CGGAGGAUCCAAGCGUUAUCCGGAAUCAUUGGGUUUAAAGGGUCUGUAGGCGGUUUAGUAAGUCAGUGGUGAAAGCCCAUCGCUCAACGGUGGAACGGCCAUUGAUACUGCUAAACUUGAAUUAUUGGGAAGUAACUAGAAUAUGUAGUGUAGCGGUGAAAUGCUUAGAGAUUACAUGGAAUACCAAUUGCGAAGGCAGGUUACUACCAAUAUAUUGACGCUGAUGGACGAAAGCGUGGGGAGCGAACAGGAUUAGAUACCCUGGUAGUCCACGCCGUAAACGAUGGAUACUAGCUGUUCGGAGCAAUCUGAGUGGCUAAGCGAAAGUGAUAAGUAUCCCACCUGGGGAGUACGUUCGCAAGAAUG
rnacentral:rRNA from 1 species